CAAAAAGGCAUACAUCAAAUUUAACAUCCUCAUUUUGCUUAUAUUAUACGGUUUUAUUAAUUUAUGUAAAAUGCACCCAUAAAGGAUGGAGGGUUUAAGUACUGGUGUAAAAUUGCGCGUAUGAAAUUCGCACAGGUAGACAUGAAAUAAUUUUGUCGUUCAAAGUAUGACGGGAUACAUAAAUACAGUCACGUAAAAUGGAUAUAACAAAUACAGAAUUCACAGUAAAAGUAAUAAUAAUAAAUAAAAUAAUAGUGUGGUUCAAAGUAUGACGGGAUA
rnacentral:lncRNA from 1 species